rnacentral:rRNA from 1 species
CAAUAGCGUAUAUUAACGUUGUUGCAGUUAAAAAGCUCGUAGUUGGAUCUCUGGAGGGAGCGUCGGCCCGUAUUUACGAGUGCGUGACGUCUCUGUCCAUCCUUGCGGGAAGGCACGGCAUUGAUUUGUUGUGUCGGAUCGCAUCGUUUACUGUGAAAAAAUUAGAGUGUUCAAAGCAGGCUUUCGCUUGAAUACAUUAGCAUGGAAUAAUAAGAUAGGACUUUGGUGCUAUUUUGUUGGUUGAGCCUAAAGUAAUGAUUAAUAGGGAUAGUUGGGGGCACCUGUAUUGCGUUGUCAGAGGUGAAAUUCUUGGAUUUACGCAAGACAAACAGCUGCGAAAGCGUCUGCCAAGGAUGUUUUCAUUAA